rnacentral:lncRNA from 10 species
GGAAAAGGCAACUGAAACCUACUCCGGAUACAGUCUUGUUACUCUUCACCAGGCACCCAUUUGAGGUAGGACCUCAAGUUACAGAUGGGGAAACUGCGGACCAGAGAGGUUAAAAUACUUGUACCGAAUCACACGGCUGGUCGAUGGCAGAAGCAGGAUUCAAACUGAGGCCACCCAAGACUUUUUGCACCAGAACCUGUUGGCCGUGCUGUUGUCCACUCAUCCACCAAACAACUGUGGAGUAUUGACUCAAACGCCAGCCCCUGUCUGGGUCUCCAAGGGAGUUAAAUGUUGGAAGGGCGCCGUGCACCGAGUGCCGUCCCUGCUGUCCGCACAGAGGCUCGGCUGGGCUCCCGCUCCCCCUCGGUGGAAUGAGCUGUCACAGCCGCCUCCGCGCGCACCUGUGCCCAAGGAGUGGCAGCUGGGCUGGCUUCAUGCCCCGGGAAAGGGAUGUUUGGCAUCACCAGCGGUUGGCAGACCGGUUGCGCACCUGCUUAGCUGUCAGGCUUAUCUGAAGGACAAGUCCUCCUGCCUCCAAACAGCAAAACCUCCAGCGCGGCUGGAAACGGAGCUGUGGCUGCCCAUUUGCAUUUCGAGGUCACUGUGUGGCAGGGCCAGGAGCUGAGCUGGAGACGACGGCAUCGUGUGGCCAGAGGAGGGUUCAGUGAGUAUAUUUGAGAGGUGAACCAAGCACUAGGUUUUGGGGUGUCUUGGUUGAUAGUAAUGGAUUGUUGGUUCGGACCAAAGACAUGCCAAGAAAGAAAGAAUACUGGGAUGGCCCCGUGGCAACAGCCUUUUCCAGCCAGCAGGGCUGCUCUUGGCUGCUGGGAAGGAGACUGGGACCCGGAGCCUCACUAAGCCUCCCCUCCCAUCUCAUCACUUGCAGAGGGACGUGAGGAAAAGGGGCCUCCACAAUCGCCAGAGACAAUCCAAGGACCGUGGGAGCUGCUGGCCUCAGCCCCGGACUUUCCUGGAGCUGAGACAGUUUCAAAGCCACUGGCUGCCAGGUACUGUCAUCCCGUGGCCAUGGGACCAUCUCACGUGAUCAGUUCCUCUCUCUCCUCAGAUGAGACUGGAGCGUGGAGUGGGUGCGGGGGUGCUAGGACCCCGACAUGGGGACAAGGUCAGACCCCAGGGAGGGGGAAGUCACCAGCAAGGAGCCCACAUCGGGGACCGGGGUCGGGGGGGGGCUUCCUGUGACCCCACACUGCUCCUGCAGCCUGACUCAUCACCCGAGUUCAUGUCUGCUUUGGAGAAUGAGGGGACAGACUUAGAAGGAAACACAUGCAGGCCCGACACCUAAAGACAAAGCCAGCUGUCCCUGUGGUUUAUUUCUAGUAUUUUGUCUGAUUGCUUUUCACUGAGUCGGUGAUAGCCAAAGUCUCUAGUUCUUAGUCCGUACCAGUGCUGUUUGGACACUCUCCCUGCGCUCCGUGCUCUUCCUAUGAUGAAGUGAAAACUCGACGUAAGGACAGGAAAAGUGUAGCCUGGCCAGCUGUGGGGCAGAGUUCAUGUAGGGUCAGCCCAUGGCAUGUCUGGCCAUCACACCUUGCUCACUUCUGCUCCUCCUUUUCCUUGUACUGUUAUGACAUCAGCGUCUCUCCUGACACCACCUGUGCCUGCUGAAAUUCAGGCCUGACACUGCCCAGGUGUGUGACCCUAGGCAGGUUCACAAACCUCUCACCUGUAAAAUGGGGAUGGUGCUAGGACCUGCCAUGGGGUGGUUGCAAAGCUUAAGUGGGGGUGGUUAAGAAAAGCCUGGGAACACCAAGGAGCAUCAUUGAGACACAGUGAGUAUUUGUGGAAUAUUAAUUCUUAAUUCUUUAAUAAUUCCCUAAUGAAUUAUUUACUUAAUUGCUUUAGGAUCAGUCAUCAUUUAUUCACUCAACUGUUAGGCUCUUAACAUUUUCAGUUAGGUUAGGGAUAGCAUAGGGUGAGGAUUGUUAGGGUUAGGGUGGGGA